GGUCCUAGAGCAGAUGAGCGCAGAAUAUUUAGGCGAAAGCGCGAGGAGGGGGGAGCGCGGGGCAGGAGGAGUAUCUCGGCCGGGAAAAUUAUGCAUGCGUUAGGGAAGCUCUGAGAGAAUGGCUGUGGAAGCUCUCCACUGUGGCUUGAAUCCGCGGGGUAUUGAUCACUCUGCCCGGGCUGAAGGCAUUAAACUGCAAAUUGAAGGGGAAGGUGUUGAAUCUCAGUCCAUUAAAAACAAAAAUUUUCAGAAGGUGCUUGACCAAAAAGGAACCCCCAAGCGAUUGCCAACAGAAGCUGAGACGGCUAAGUCGGCUACGGUGAAGCUGUCAAAACCAGUGGCUCUGUGGACUCAGCAGGAUGUCUGCAAGUGGUUGAAGAAACAUUGUCCGAAUCAGUAUCAGAUCUACAGUGAGUCAUUCAAACAGCAUGACAUUACUGGGCGAGCCCUGCUGAGACUUACUGACAAAAAGCUUGAGCGGAUGGGGAUUGCCCAGGAGAACCUCCGGCAGCACAUCUUACAACAGGUGCUCCAGCUGAAGGUGCGAGAAGAAGUCAGAAACCUACAGUUACUCACACAAGUUGGCCAGGAACCCCAUUACAGUAAUUGGACUAAGAUGGUCUCAAAAGGACUGGGGGAGCUCCUGUGGGUCAUCUGAACACAGAGAAUGUGAAGUUUCUACCCUGCUUUUUCUUACUCUCCUCCUUCUGGAUGCUGACCCAGAGACAAAAACUAUAAGCCUCCACCGAGGGUUCUCCGUAAACGUGGUUAGCCUUCCAAGCUGCUGUCCUGCCAGCUGAUAUGAACGUGGCCUGUUCCUCACGGAGAGACUAACUCAUGGCACUGCCUGAAGAUAUCCAUGGAGCAUUGACAGAUUAACCAGAUUAACUGACCCAUUCAGUCAAGAUUAUGGGCUUUGGAGAAAUCUUAGUUUGCUGUGGAUUUUAAAAUGAGGUGCAUAAUAUACAGUGCCAACUGGUUCCAAGUGGUCAUUGGCAGACCACUAGCUGGAAAAUUGCUUCCAGUUUUCAUCACUGUGCAUAACUCAAGCUCCCUUCAGGGAGCUGUCUGUGCCCUUCACUAGAAGUCCUAUUUUAGCAUGGCAACUACUGGAUUAUUUUAUUAUGUGUGCAGAUGGCAUGAUGUGUUAGAAAAAAAAAUCACAGCAGUUCUGCAAUCUCAGUGGAAGUGUUCACAAUAUUCUGCCCUGGUAGGAAUGUAAACAUGUCUUGAUUACGUUAGUUAUGGUGUCUUAAAGGUGUUCUGUCCAACUCUUAAGCACUUUACCUGAGAACACUACACCAAAACGAAUCAGCACGUUCAGUACAUGUGGGAAAAGCGAGUAUUCUCUUUUUUUUUUCUUUUAUAAAUCUCGUCCUUGUUCUGGCUCAGACUGUCCAAGACAAACUCCACACCUAGCAUAUCCCCGGUCAUUUGUGGUAGAUUGGUGUAAACAUGGCCACAAUACUGUUAGACUUAACCUGUUGACACUUUACUCCACCAACUGGAUUUCUUGCAGUGCCAGAGGGAAGUAGAAGGGGGCUGGUGGUUGAAGUAUCUUAGCUCUUUGUUCCUAAGCUGGGAACCGAGGCACAACUUAGCACAUCCACAUACAGAUGAACCCAGGAGGCUUCUAUGUGGCCGGUGUACAUGCUCUCUCCUUCUAUAGAAGAGUGUUUUCAAUGGAGAAAAGAGAUGGCUUUUUAGUCAAAGACCAUGGUGGAUUGAGGGUAAGGAGAAAAGAAUGGAGUUUUCCUGUGUUGGUCUGGCUUUACGACUUUAGGAGACUUUCUAGGUCAAGUUUAAAUCACAGCUCUCUGAAGAUGGGAGACAACAGGUGUCCCCUUGCGUGCCUAAGGAAGGGGAAGGGCCCAAUUCAUACUAGGUUCCUACCUCCAUAGAGAACCGACUAGUCCCUUUUAAUCCUUUCUGGGAUUCUCUCCACAAUUAAUUAUUUUUUUUACUACAUCUUACAACAAAGCACAGUCCUAGGAAACUGAUCAACCCAGUUAUUGCUUGUCUUUGGGCAUUAGAGAGAUGUCCAUAUUGACUGACCCUACAUAAUACUUUAGCUUUGUUUUCCCCCUUGAAAAUAUAAACUUGGCUGAAUCAAAAAUUCAGCAAAUAUAUUCUGUGUACUCACAAUCCCAAUCUGGGACUGACAGGUACCAGAGACUUUCCUUUAAAUAUGCAUAACAACCCUGGGGCCCUGCCAGUACAAGGAAAUUUGGCAUUUUAGGAGGGGGUCUCCAUACAAGCACUCAUGAUCUGCUCUCCCUUGGCGGGGCGGGGGGGGGGGGUGUCUCAGGAAAUGCACAACACAUUGGAAAAUACCCCCACCUGAGAUCAGGAAAGCUGACAGGGGAAGGGAAAGAGAACCGAAUGUGAUUCGGGUGAGUCACCUCAUAGGAUGACUCACCACAAACCUGUCAAGCUGUUAUUGCCAGAGGAAGGGGCUUUGGAGAGGGAGCUCAGAAGAGUUUUCAGUCACCAUCAAGAUCUGGCCUUAUGACAGGUCAGCACCAGGACCAUCAGGCUCUCACAGACCCUAAUUCUUUACAAAUCCAGAAUGAGGCGGCCAAACCCUGGCUGUCCAUACCCCUGGAGAUAACAUUCCAAACACUACUGCCCACCCCCUGAGUUUCAAUUCCAACAGCAGGGCUUCCUUCUUCUUUCAUUCUUUCUUUUAUUUAGCAAGGAUUUGUGAAGCACCUACUACGUGCCAAGCAUUGUGUUGGGGUAACAACAGAGUACGAGGCAGACUCCCCAUGCCCUUCUGGAACAGUAUCUCCUCCCCCUAGACACUGCCCCCAUCUUGGCUUUUCCACAAUGGAAACACAAUUCAGACAGCUUUCCCCACUUCCAGAGUAACCUCACAAAAUGCACAAGGCAGCAGGCUGUUCCCUUGCCUGUGGAAGUAGACAGUGGAGGAAGUGGUAGUAGGCAGCAUGAGGCCACAUAUUUGCAUCCUUGUAUACAUCAGACCUUUCCCAGGCCCAGACUUAGCUGGUUAGAGCUUCCUAAAGCAGCUUUCGGUUGCUUUCCUGGAUGUUCACCUUGGUCAUCUGUAUUCCCAUCCUUUACACAGGCACCAACAUUGGUCAUUAUGCCAGAUUUUCUGAAGCUGCAGUUCUCAGUAUAGUCCAGGGGACCCAGAAUAGGGCCUCCUGAAUCCAGAAGAAUGACUGUCAGGUGCUAAGAUACUGUAGCUGGGAAUUAAUUGGUUUAUUAAUUCAGGGUCAUUCUGAGACUGUGGCUAACAACCUUGGAAAACUGGAUACGCUUUAUGGCACAGUCAGUCAUUAAAUGAUAGUGGUUCAUCCUUUCUUUGGCCUUCGUAAAAUAUGUUCUGAACAAUUAAAUAAGUCGAGUUUCCUAGCCUCUUUUUUUUUUUUUUUUUUUUUUUAAUGUAGCUACAAGUGUGCUGACAGAUUAUGAAAAGGUGACAGGUAAGGGUGGAGAUGGGAAAAGGCAAAAUUGAAGAUGAUGAAAGAACCCAGUUGAAGAUGGCGUCUCUAUAAAUGCCUUAAUUCCCAGAACACCACGUUAUUUGCCUAUGAGCUAUGACUGUUUUCCAAACUGUGGACCUCAUUAUGAAAUCACUUGGGUGGGGGGAUAGUUUUGGAAACGUGGUGGCAUAAAAAAUCUGAGCAUUCCCUUGCUAACCAGCAAAAUGGAGACACGAGUUCCUUCGCAGCCUCCACAAUUCUUCGUUCCAUGUUCAUCCACCAUUUCCCGCCAUUACUUCCUGCUGUGCUCUACCUUCUUCCUGAGAUGUGUGUAGGAACUUUUUCUUCCCAGAAGUUCAGGAAUGGCUGUGGGGAGUUUUGUUUCAGUAGGCAGCAGGAGAACCAGGAGGUAAAGGAUAAAUAUUUUGAUGUCUAAGGGCUAUAAACUGUUGAUGCUUAACUUUUCCUGUUACUUAAACCUCUGCUACACUUUUUAUUGAAAGGCUGACACCCACACUUGUGUGGGGAAAGACACUCUUGGGAAUGACGAGAAAUGAAUAAUUAUCAGACUCUCUGGGGUGCCAAGGGGAUUAGCUUGUUCCAGCUUCCGAACCGAAUUUAAAAUGCAGAGCAUCAUCCGUGGUUCUGCUAGGGUGAAAAAGCGAAUCACUUCAGUAGUUUAAGACAUACCUAGGGGAUAGAGAUCCUAUAAACUUUCUUAUGGGUAAUGGCGGCCCUUCAGCCCCCUGCUCAGGCUCCGUGAGCUGUGUAACUGCACAUUUGACUUCUACCUCCAGAACGGGGGAAGCAACCCCGAGUCCUCUCCCAAGUCACUUCUCAGUUGCAGAGACAGAUGUUAACGGUCCUCCGUUCUGAGGAGAUUCUUCCAUUUUUAACACUCAAGGGGAGAAGGACUAUCAACCGUACUCACAAAUAUAAAAGAAGGAUAGAAACCUCUAAUGGAUUUACCCCAGUGUUACGUGCAAAGGCUUCCUUUGUCUGCGAAUGCCACAUGAUUGAUUUUGGAUAGGAACAAUAAAAGUCUCUGGGAAGAAAAGUUUUCACGACCCCCUUAGUACUUUAGCUUUACCUAAACCUCCUCUUCCCUGUGCCAUUAGCUGCUCCAUUCUUUGUGAUGUUUUCCUCUACAUUCUUUAGAGUAAUUUUGUUACUUGACAACUAGACUUAAGAUUGCCAUAGACUCUUUUUAAAAAUCUAAUCUUUGAAAAUGACAUAAAUUCUUUUAUGCCUUAAAGGCUGUUUUUAUUCACCUCUCCCACAACCCUUUCCACCCCACUCUUUUGCUUUUUUUUUUUUUUUUAAUCUCUUCUUUUAAUACAAUUCUUUGGGUAGAUUUUGAGUAUUCUAUAAAGAACUCAAACAGAAAAACUUAACCGUCUCCUUUUUCCCCCAAUACUGACUAAUAAUUCCUUCUUUUUUUUUACCAUUUUAUUUUUAUUUAAUACAUUGAUUUGUCCUUUUGUGGUUUUCUUUUUUUUUAAAUAAUAAAUUUAUUUUUUAUUGGUGUUCAAUUUGCCAUCAUACAGAAUAACACCCAGUGCUCAUCCCGUCAAGUGCCCCCCUCAGUGUCCGUCACCCAUUCACCCCUACCCCCCCUCCCCUUCCACCACCCCUAGUUCAUUCUUAUGAUUGACGUUGGUGAGGGUUCGCUGCCCAAACAGAUGUGGAUUCACAUCUCUAGGGAGUGACUGGUCAAAGCUGCUAAUCAAAACAGAACCCAUGAGAUUAUGAGGGAGGACAGACCAGGAGAUGCUUCUGCACAGGGCACAGCUGGGGACUCUACUUCAAAGACAAGGAGGUCCUGCUCCUUUGUUUCUUAAGAUCUCACCUAAUCCUGUAGCCAGAAAACUGCCUCAUGAAUUCUCCUUUAUCAAUAUGCUUGAUUCCUUGGCACCACUGCAUAGUUUCCAGGUCAAACAGAACCACAUUUCCAUUAUUUUGCUCUGGUGACUUACUCUUGUGGGGAGACAGGGACAUUCUUUUGAAAGCUAAUCACCUGUGGGCAGCUUGAGAAAAAGUUGGCCAUGUGCACAGAGAGGUUCUUCCCCACCUUAAUAAACAGAAUAAAAUAGAUCCUUCCCUGGAGAUUCUUAUACGGGAAGGUGCUAGAGGGAUGUAUCACACUGGUUCUCUUCUGGCCAUCAUUUUGGCCCUGCAGGGAAAAUUCUGGAAGUAGGGGGUGGGAGGAGUGCAGAGCAUCAUUCCUGAGAUCUAGAAAUUUAAAGAUGAAAUUCACCUAUAGGAUAAAUGCAAAGGGGAAGUGGCAGUGAGAAUGGGAUCAGUUUUAGACCUUCUGCCCGACAGCACAAAGACUGACAAAUGACUUCCACAGAACAGCAGAAAAUGCGUGUUAAAGGCUUUGCAAGAUUGGAGAUUUAUGCACCAUGUAGGGCUAUUUUACAAUCUUGAAGAGCCCCAAGCAUUCUUACUUCAGAGCCUCCCUUCUCCAAUUACGUCAAGCACUAAAAGGAACCAACAACAUACACCUAAUAACAUUUCAAAGUAACCCUAUGACUUGCACUGAAUUGCAAGUUGACUCGGUUGACAUAAUAAGUGUUGUAGAUACAGUCUUUCUGAUUAUACAUUAUUCUUUUCAUAUUUUGGAGCCAAUGGUUCAGGGGUUUCAUUUCUUUAAUGGCUUGUUUUGUUGCUGUUGUUGUUCCAAACCUCCAACAUUUCCAGAAGCCUUAGAAAGGCUCUUAAAACCAGGCCUUUCUGCCUCAAGUGCAGAGUGAUAGAAACAGCCCUACUGAUAUGAAUGACACAGAGACUGUGACAUUAAUCCAGCUGGAGAGGCUAACACCCAAAACACUGAAGACACUGAAGCCUCUGCUGGUUGCUUUCUGCAUUGCUUAAAACCUUUUAAAUUUCAGUUGUUUGGAUCAAAGGAAGUAAACGGGCUGCUCUCCACUUGGCUUUGCCCUGUUAGGGCACACACAUAGCUAUCAAAUGUAAAAUUCUAAACUGGGUUGAUAUGCAAGAGCUCACAGAUCUGUUAUGUGUGAUUGUAUUUAAAUACCAUUCUCUCCAAAUUCUAUAAAAACAUUUUCAAGAGCUUAACUCUGUAAAAAAAAAAAAAAAAAAAAAAAAUCUAAAACAAGAGAGAUUCUUAUUAGGUCAUUAUUUGUCCUGCAGUGGGGGAACUGCUUUUGUGACAUAACUUUGAAGAAAUACUUGCUUGCCAUUAAAUGCGAAUGUCUGGUGGUUGCUCUGUUCCACAAACUGAUGGUGGGCUUCUCCCAUCCGCAGAGGAAGUUGGCCUGCCCAGCCUCACCCCCAUUCCACCCCCUCUCAAGAUAGCGCAAGGACCAUGAAGACACCUUUUGAAGCUCUGGAUAGUCUCCCUAUUCAUGCAUAAUUUCAAGAAUAUGAUUUGGGUUGAGCACUGCCAUGGUCUUUGAUUAUAUGACCCCUAAAUCAAUUAGAAUUUUAUAUAUAUAUAUAUAUAUAUAUAUAUAUAUAUAUAUAUAUAUAUCUCCAGUAUUUUUUAUUGACCACCAUCAACUGCAUUUAGUGCUUUGCAUUGGGAGCUGCCUGCUUAUUCUGUGGUAGCUUCAAACAGUCCCCAUACCUAUUUCCCAUACAGGAGAAGGACUGAGAAUGUUUUCCCACACAUCAACUGCAGAAGUUUUGAAGCAUGUGACCAGGUUCUUUUUCACAUCAACAGGCCCCUGUUUGUAGGAGGUAAACCUAAAGAGAAUUGGGUCAGAUUGGAGGGGCUGGGGAGAGGCUGGGGGCCACAUACUGGUGUUUGAACACUGGAAACUGUCUUUUCCAUUGUAAUGCAACUCUCAUCUCCAGUCACUAGAAAGAGAAGCAUUAGCCUCUUCAGUGAGUGUUGGCCACCCUGGGGGUCGUUGGGGUUCCACUUGCUUAAACUCACACAUAGACAAUUUGAAGGUGCUCUGGGAGGUCUGAAUGGCAUGUCCACCAUUAUCUUUUCUCCACCAAAAGAAAAAUGCUAUCCCUUCAAGGCCAUGUUUGAGGAGACCAAGGCUUGGCUAGUGAAGUUCACACUGCUGAGCUGAAUAAUGUUAGGCUCUUGACUUUGCACUGCAAAAGUUUCAGUCAUGAUUGGCACAGAAGCAGCUAGUCUGUUGAAAAGCCAAGCCAGCACAAAUGUUUGAAACUAAUUGCACUGAAACUCUUGUGCCAUUAAGCCAUACUACUGUAGCUCCAAUUAAUCCAACUAUUUAAUAUCAUUAGCCACUAAAUUAAGUAGCUGCCCCCAAAACUUUAGAGAAGAUCAAUAUUGUAACAAAAUUACUUAUUAGCAGUAAAAAGUACUUGAGAAAAGAAAAUAUUGAUCUGUUGUGGCUUAUGUAGUUGAGUUAUUCUUAGGACUUUGUGGAUCUGGCACUGCUCUGAGAAAGGGGAAGAAGAGGUUUUGAAUUCAAGAAUACUUGGAUUCAACAGAAAUUGCCAGUCUCUCUAGGCUUCUGCUCAUCUGUCACCUUAGCAGGCAGGAAUGUUUGCAGGCUAAAUAAAAGGAGCUAAGGGGAGGUGUUCCAUACCACUAAUAUAUGUGCAAUUAUCACAGGGACCUGGGCUUUAUUUACUUGUGAGCCCUUUCUCUUUAUCCUUUCUCCUUGUAGCUGGUACUACUGAGAGCCCAUCCUGGGAUUAGAAAAGAAAAGAAAGGGUGAAAAGAAAGUAACAAUCAGCAUUUUGCAUAUAUACACACAAGCUUUAUCUAAUGUAUGGGGACCAGUCUGCAGAGCCUAUGGCUUAGGUGCCCAUCUAUCUCCACUUCUCUGCCUCCAAAAGACUUAGAGUUGACCUAGCUGAGGGAGAGAGCCUCAGGUUUGGCUUAGUGCACUCAAAAAUCGCCAAUCUCUGAGUUGGAGAAGACCAGUGAAAGUGUGAAGUUGACAAAUAGAGGGUCACAGGAAGCAGAGAGGCACAUUGAACUUCAUUGAUGAGCUACUGUAUUUUAGUAUUUGUUCUAGGCAAGAAAGGAAGAAAAAUCACACAAUGUGAACUGAAUGGAAGACCAGUGCUCUCAGUAGGGUAUAAGAGGGGAAAAUCUCAUGAAAAAAAUUGGUUCACGGUUUUACAAACACUAACAAACACGGCUAUAAAAGCACGUUUCAUAAUACAAAAGCCUACAUCGAGGGUAGAAAGUUUUAUAGCUUCCUUAAGUGAGUAGUUAAACCAGCAGUCUGAACUCUCUUAGUCCCCUAAGAGUGGUUAAUUAAAUAAGUAUUUUCCUUAUCCAUUGCCCACAUCUGUGGUUUUUUUUCUCUAUGCACCCUAGAAAAACUCCCAGGACUAGACUUAGGAGGACCCAAGCAAGUUACAUGGUAAAAUCAGAGUGCCUUUUCUGUUGGAUGUUCACUUUGGUUCCCUGGGUUCCCAGGGCAUACAAUGUUUAGAAACUUUUUUCUCUAAACAUAAGAAUUAUUGUGCACCACAAUCUUGAACCAACGAUUUCCAUAUCUUAAGCAGCUCUCAACUUGGCAAUUCCCUCUGGGUCUCCUUUAUAUUUUCUUAUAAUGUUUCUUUCUGUGUUGGGUUGUCGUCAAAAAAAGAGUUGGGGGGCAUGAUUCUUUUUAAAUUGAUAGAAAUGAAACUGUACAGAUUUUUGCCCCCUUGUAUCUGUGAGCAUGAUCUCUAUCGGGCUUGAAAAUCUGCUUUAUCAUUUUGUAUAUCUGACUAUUUUGUAUUCAGCAUUACUUGAUUCCUUAUGUGCAUGGCAAUGUAUUAAAAUGUGGGAUUUCUA